rnacentral:rRNA from 1 species
CUACGGGGUGCACCAGUAAGGAAUAUUGCGCAAUGGGCGAAAGCCUGACGCAGCGACGCCGCGUGGGGGAUGAAGGUCUUCGGAUUGUAAACCCCUUUCGGCAGGGAAGAUGGGGCGGGUAACCGCUCGGACGGUACCUGCAGAAGCAGCCACGGCUAACUUCGUGCCAGCAGCCGCGGUAAUACGAAGGUGGCAAGCGUUGUUCGGAUUUACUGGGCGUACAGGGAGCGUAGGCGGUUAGGGAAGCCCUUCGUGAAAUCUCCGGGCCUAACCCGGAAAGUGCGGGGGGGACUGCUUAGCUAGAGGAUGGGAGAGGAGCGCGGAAUUCCCGGUGUAGCGGUGAAAUGCGUAGAGAUCGGGAGGAAGGCCGGUGGCGAAGGCGGCGCUCUGGAACAUUUCUGACGCUGAGGCUCGAAAGCGUGGGGAGCAAACAGGAUUAGAUACCCCAGUAGUC